CGCCUUAUACUCCUACGGGAGGCAGCAGUGGGGAAUAUUGGGCAAUGGGCGAAAGCCUGAUCCAGCCAUGCCGCGUGUGUGAAGAAGGUCUUCGGAUCGUAAAGCACUUUAAGUUGGGAGGAAGGGCAGUAAGCUAAUACCUUGCUGUUUUGACGUUACCGACAGAAUAAGCACCGGCUAACUCUGUGCCAGCAGCCGCGGUAAUACAGAGGGUGCAAGCGUUAAUCGGAAUUACUGGGCGUAAAGCGCGCGUAGGUGGUUUGUUAAGUUGGAUGUGAAAGCCCCGGGCUCAACCUGGGAACUGCAUCCAAAACUGGCAAGCUAGAGUACGGUAGAGGGUGGUGGAAUUUCCUGUGUAGCGGUGAAAUGCGUAGAUAUAGGAAGGAACACCAGUGGCGAAGGCGACCACAUGGACUGAUACUGACACUGAGGUGCGAAAGCGUGGAGAGCAAACAGGAUUAGAUACCCCAGUAGUCCACGUACCA
rnacentral:rRNA from 1 species